ensembl:lncRNA
CAAGGAGCCAGUCUAGUCUACUGAGCAGAGCCCUGGGCUGGGGCCUGAGUGGCCGGUGCUCUCUUCCCGGCCUUGCCACUGCUCUGCUGGGUGAUCUUGGGCAAAUCCCUGCCUUUCCCCGUGCCUCAGUUUCCCCUCCCACCUUGUGAGGAUUGUGAGUGCUCUCACCCCUGCAGCACAGUGCGCAAGGGGGCGCAUUGGGAGCAGUGCCCAGCAUCGUUCAUCUGGAACGGGCCGCAUGGAGAGCAGAUCCGUGUUUGUGGAGUUAGUUUAAAUGUCACUGGAAACAGGUUGCUGUUGGGAGGUGCUUGAAUUCCUCUGCACAGGCGUGAGAGCCGGAAAGGGCACUGUGGCUGUAGACUGCCAGGGUCUGUUGGCCAAAGCGAGAGGAACGAAGAGAGCAAAGGCUUGGCAGUUUCACCAGGCAGCUAUAAGCCUGGGCCGGAGUGUUGGGUCAGAAUGGAGGAAAGUUCCCAAAAAGAUGCAUCCAUUUGACGGUUUUGUACUUGUGCCCGUCACCAUAGUGUCUGGGCCCCUCCCACGUUCAUUAGAUUGGCAUUGCAAGGUCCCUAGUGGACUUUGAGUCUUCUGCUCUUCUCGCUUCUCCGGCCAUGGGAAGCUCUCGUUGGGUAGGUUUGUUGUGCUAACCGUCAUUCUGUUUCUGGCGGAAAAGCUGUGUUAAAGGAGCCGUGGUGGCAUUUCCUAAAGCUUCCCAGGUUUUGGAUUAGUUUAAUCUCUGCUGGAAGUUUGUUCUGCAGCCAGAUCCCUUCGAGUGCCUUAUCUCAGUCUCUUAUAGGCUCUCACACACUUCGCCCCAGGCUUUAGGCUCUGCAUUGCCCCCGAGAAGUACUCCAGAGGUGGAGAUGCAACCUCUAAUGCAGCUGGGCUUUGAUCCAUUCAUAGCUCUCAGAAUCAGGACCAGUUGGCUGUCCUCUCUUUAAAUGAAGGGGUAGGGUUCUUCGCACAGAGCGUAGCUGAUUAGGCUCUGGAGAGAUUUGGGUGCCCAUGCUGGCUGGCUGUGCGGUGAGUGUGUGCGCCCUAGUCGCAGGGACAGUAUUUGUUGACUUCUUUGCGUUCGUUGCCUGACUCAAACCUGGCGCAUCUGUGGUGGAAACAGGAAGUUCUCUGUGGUGGUGGCAAAGAUGAGCAUGUUUCUUCCCUCUCCCCUUCUCGCUGUGACACCUCUGUCAAGUCAGAGGCCUGAUGGGGAUGGAGAAAUAGACGUGUGGGUGUGUUCAAGAGGAAAAAGACCCUGGCAAAUGGAGAUGUGUGCCGAGCCCCUGUAGGUCGGUGUGGCCCUGGCAUUCUGAAGUGUGGGGUACAAAACCACUACUUAAUCCAUCCAGAAUUUUGCCCAGUGAUUGCCCUCCCUUGCUAGCCCUCUGGCAUGAUGAUGGAUGCUGCCUAUGUCCCCUGCCCGCGCUUGCUCCUUUCUGCCCCCUCCUGCCUUAAGGGCAGUUGGGGGGAGGGGGCAGAGAGGAGCAAGUGGUGGGGCAGCCCUGCUCAACAGCUGAUGAGGGGAGGGCAGGACCAGCUUCUGAACAGCUGAUUGGCAGCCAGCCCCAGGGCCACCAGAGCAGUAG